rnacentral:lncRNA from 10 species
GGAUCAAGGAGACCUGUUAUCCUGACAUCCCUGACCCUUACAAGAGCAGCAUCCUGUCAUUAAUAAAAUUCAAGAUCUCUUCAAAAGUCUGGCUUAAUAGAAGAUAGCUGGAUUCUCAUACUUGCUUCUACAUUCAAUCUGUUGCCAUAUGUUGUUUUGGCUGAAGUAUUAAAGAAAAUCUAGCCUCACACAGCUGAGCCUUCUUGAGACACCCCAUCACUGCAUCCAGAAAUCCCCGAAAACUUAGAGGGAACCACUUCUAAAGGAUUAUGGAUAGUCUGCUCACACCAAUCAGAAUAUGGAAUAUCUUGAAAGUCUGAAGAAAAAAAUAAUUAUUUCAAUUAAAGCACCAUAACGGCUU